rnacentral:rRNA from 4 species
UGGGGGAUAACGUUCGGAAACGGACGCUAAUACCGCAUACGUCCUACGGGAGAAAGCAGGGGACCUUCGGGCCUUGCGCUAUCAGAUGAGCCUAGGUCGGAUUAGCUAGUUGGUGAGGUAAUGGCUCACCAAGGCGACGAUCCGUAACUGGUCUGAGAGGAUGAUCAGUCACACUGGAACUGAGACACGGUCCAGACUCCUACGGGAGGCAGCAGUGGGGAAUAUUGGACAAUGGGCGAAAGCCUGAUCCAGCCAUGCCGCGUGUGUGAAGAAGGUCUUCGGAUUGUAAAGCACUUUAAGUUGGGAGGAAGGGCAUUAACCUAAUACGUUAGUGUUUUGACGUUACCGACAGAAUAAGCACCGGCUAACUCUGUGCCAGCAGCCGCGGUAAUACAGAGGGUGCAAGCGUUAAUCGGAAUUACUGGGCGUAAAGCGCGCGUAGGUGGUUUGUUAAGUUGGAUGUGAAAUCCCCGGGCUCAACCUGGGAACUGCAUUCAAAACUGACUGACUAGAGUAUGGUAGAGGGUGGUGGAAUUUCCUGUGUAGCGGUGAAAUGCGUA